GAUGAACGCUGGCGGCGUGCCUAAUACAUGCAAGUCGAGCGAACAGAUGAGGAGCUUGCUCCUCUGACGUUAGCGGCGGACGGGUGAGUAACACGUGGAUAACCUACCUAUAAGACUGGGAUAACUUCGGGAAACCGGAGAUAAUACCGGAUAAUAUAUUGAACCGCAUGGUUCAAUAGUGCAACACGGCUUUGCUGACACUUAGAGAUGGAUCCGCGCCGCAUUAGCUAGUUGGUAAGGUAACGGCUUACCAAGGCAACGAUGCGUAGCCGACCUGAGAGGGUGAUCGGCCACACUGGAACUGAGACACGGUCCAGACUCCUACGGGAGGCAGCAGUAGGGAAUCUUCCGCAAUGGGCGAAAGCCCGACGGAGCAACGCCGCGUGAGUGAUGAAGGUCUUCGGAUCGUAAAGCUCUGUUAUUAGGGAAGAACAACUGUGUAAGUAACUAUGCACGUCUUGACGGUACCUAAUCAGAAAGCCCCGGCUAACUACGUG
rnacentral:rRNA from 1 species